CUAAUGAAUAAUAACGUGUCUGGCUGUUUGUUUGCAAGCCAUUGUGGCUAAUAUUGUAGAGCUAAAGGUGUCAAUGGUUACUAUGAGGCAUUUAUUUCAUUUUAGUAGGUCACAUUCUGUUAUGUCAGUUUGCCAUAUCUGAUUGGAAGAGAGACCCCUUAGAUUGACACCUGCUUCCCACAGUGGGCCCUUUUGACAGUAGGGACAAAGUGCCGCUAUGUUUUUUGCUUGUGACAGAGAAAUAUGACAGGUUUUCGCUAAGGCUUUUGCUCUGAGGUGUAGAAAGGCAUGUAAAUAUUUUGCAGCAUCUAGUGACCAUACACCCCGAGCCACCUGGUCAGCCUUAUGAUUGCCUUCUACAACUGGACCAGGUAAGGAUUGGUGACUGUUCACAUGUGUAAGAAAGGCCUGCCCUACGCGUUGUUGUAGAACAUCAUAAAGUAAAGUCAUCAAUUUCGUCA